rnacentral:rRNA from 1 species
AACGCGAAGAACCUUACCUGGGCUUGAACCGCUACUGACCAACGGUAGAAAUAUCGUCUUCCCGCAAGGGACAGUAGUAGAGGUGCUGCAUGGCUGUCGUCAGCUCGUGCCGUGAGGUGUUGGGUUAAGUCCCGCAACGAGCGCAACCCUUACUCGUAGUUGCUACCCGCAAGGGAGAACUCUACGAGGACUGCUCCGGAUAACGGAGAGGAAGGUGGGGAUGACGUCAAGUCAGCACGGCCUUUAUGUCCAGGGCUACACACGUGUUACAAUGCACGGUACAGACUGUUGCGAACCCGCGAGGGGGAGCUAAUCGGACAAAACCGUGCUCAGUUCGGAUUGCAGUCUGCAACUCGACUGCAUGAAGCUGGAAUCGCUAGUAAUGGCGUAUCAGAUCGACGCCGUGAAUACGUUCCCGGGCCUUGUA